GAGAGAGAGAGAGAGAGAGAGAGAGAGAGAGAGAGAGAGAGAGAGGAGUGUGGACGGGAGCCUCAGGGAGAAGGAAAACACGGACCCACGGACGCUCCCACGGCCACUCAAAGCCCGGAGGUGAGUCCAGGUUCAGUCGGAGCACCUCUCGGUUCAGGAAGAAGAGAAGAAGCCGGAGAAAGUCAUGGACACAGCGGGGGAGUUAAAGAGAAGCUAAAGUCUCCGUUAAAAUAAAAAACAAAAACACCGAGAAACCAGAAGAAGUGUCCGGAGAGGAAAGAGGAACAGGAUGGGGAUGGAUUUCAGCACUCUUCGGACCCUCAUCAGCCGAUAUUGUGUCGGUGAGGAGAACUGGGUGGACAGCAGGACAAUUUACAUCGGACAUAAGGAGCCUCCUCCGGGAACCGAGGCCUUCAUACAACAGAGAUUUCCCGACAACAGAAUCGUCUCCUCUAAGUACACAUUUUGGAACUUCAUCCCCAAGAAUAUGUUUGAGCAGUUCAGGAGAGUCGCCAACUUCUACUUUCUCAUCAUAUUUCUGGUUCAGCUGAUCAUCGACACUCCCACCAGUCCGAUCACCAGCGGACUGCCGCUCUUCUUUGUCAUCACCGUCACCGCCAUCAAACAGGGUUAUGAGGACUGGUUGAGACACAAAGCAGACAACGCUGUCAACAAAUGUCCCGUGCACGUGGUGCAGCAUGGGAAAGUGCUCCGCAAACAAAGUCGCAAGCUCAGGGUCGGAGAUGUUGUCUUAGUGAAAGAAGACGAGAGUUUUCCCUGUGAUCUCAUCCUUCUGUCCUCGUCUCGGGACGACGGGACAUGCUAUGUUACUACAGCCAGUCUGGAUGGAGAGAGCAGCCACAAAACAUACUAUGCAGUUCAGGACACUAAAGCGUACAACACGGAGAAGGAGGUGGACUCGAUCCACGCCACGAUAGAAUGUGAACAACCGCAGCCAGAUCUGUACAAAUUCGUGGGCCGUAUCAACAUCUACAUGGACAAUGAGCCAGUGGCCAGACCUUUGGGAUCAGAGAACCUGCUUCUCCGAGGAGCCACACUCAAGAACACAGAAUAUAUCUUUGCUGUUGCCAUCUACACUGGCAUGGAAACCAAGAUGGCGCUCAACUACCAGUCCAAGUCCCAGAAAAGAUCUGCAGUGGAAAAGUCAAUGAAUGCCUACCUGGUGGUCUACCUGUGCAUUCUCAUCAGCAAAGCCGUCAUCAACACGGUGCUGAAAUACGCGUGGCAAGCCGACCCCAACAGAGACGAGCCCUGGUACAACGAGAGGACAGAAGUCGAGAGGCAGAGACACGUUCUGAUCAGGGCGUUCACGGACUUCCUAGCCUUCAUGGUUCUUUUCAACUACAUCAUUCCCGUCUCGAUGUACGUCACCGUGGAGAUGCAGAAGUUCCUGGGCUCCUACUUCAUCAUGUGGGACGACGAGAUGUUUGAUGAGGAGCUGGGGGAGAGAGCUGUGGUCAACACAUCAGACCUGAACGAGGAGCUGGGACAGGUGGAAUAUGUGUUUACAGACAAGACGGGGACUCUGACAGAGAACAACAUGGAGUUCAUAGAGUGUUGUGUGGACGGCCACGUUUAUGUACCGCAUGUUAUCUGUAACGGUCAGGUGAUGCCUGGUGCCGCCGGUAUGGACAUGAUCGACACAUCGCCUGGCCCCAAAGCAAGAGAGCACGAGGAGCUGUUUUUCCGGGCGCUGUGUUUGUGCCACACGGUGCAGGUGAAAGAGGAGGAGACGGUGGACGGGAUCAAACACGGCAUCCACCAGGGCAAGUCCACUUCCUUCUACAUCUCCUCUUCUCCGGACGAAGUGGCGCUGGUGGAGGGCAUGAAGAGGCUCGGUUUCACUUAUCUGAGACUCAAGGACGGUCAGAUGGAAAUCUUAAAUAGGGAGGAUGAGAUUGAGAGGUUUGAGCUGUUAGAGGUUUUGACAUUUGACUCAGUCAGACGGAGGAUGAGCGUCAUUGUCAGGGCCAACACUGGUGAGCUGUACCUGUUCUGUAAAGGGGCAGACUCUUCCAUCUUCCCCAGGGUCAUCUCAGGCAAGGUGGAUCAGGUCAGAGCUCGAGUGGAGCACAAUGCAGUGGAGGGUCUGAGGACACUCUGUGUUGCCUAUCGCCCUUUAAGUCCUGAACAAUACCAGGAGGUUUGCCAUCUGCUCAGCAGCGCCAAGUUGGCACUACAGGACCGAGACAAACGACUGGCUGAGGCUUACGACCUAAUCGAGAAAGACCUGAUACUGCUGGGAGCCACUGCUGUGGAGGACAGGCUACAGGAAAAAGCAGCAGACACCAUCGAGUCCCUGCACAAAGCCGGUAUGAAGGUGUGGGUGUUGACCGGAGAUAAGAUGGAGACGGCGGCCGCCACCUGCUACGCCAGCAAGCUGUUUCGCCGCAACACCCAGAUCCUGGAGCUGACGACGAAGCGUACGGAGGAGCAGAGCCUUCACGAUGUCCUGUUUGACCUGAGCAGGACGGUCCUUCGGCAGCAUGGCGGCAUGACCCGGGACACCUUCUCUGGUUUAUCAGGCGACUGUACUGACUAUGGUCUGAUCAUUGACGGAGCCACCCUCUCUGCGGUGAUGAGGCCUGGCCAGGAGGACUCAAACUCAGGGAAUUACAAAGAGAUCUUCCUGGAAAUCUGCCGCAACUGCAGCGCUGUGCUCUGCUGUCGAAUGGCGCCGCUUCAGAAAGCACAGAUCGUCAAGCUGAUCAAAGCAUCCAAGGAGCACCCAAUCACUCUGGCAAUUGGAGAUGGAGCUAAUGAUGUCAGCAUGAUCCUGGAGGCUCAUGUCGGCAUUGGUAUAAUGGGUAAAGAGGGUCGCCAGGCCGUGAGAAACAGCGACUACGCCAUCCCAAAGUUCAAACAUCUCAAGAAGAUGCUGCUAGUCCACGGACAUUAUUACUACAUACGCAUCUCUGAGCUUGUGCAGUACUUCUUCUACAAGAAUGUCUGUUUCAUCUUCCCCCAGUUCCUCUACCAGUUCUUUUGUGGCUUCUCGCAACAACCACUGUACGAUACAGCAUAUUUGACUCUCUACAACAUCAGCUUCACCUCGCUGCCCAUUCUGCUCUACAGUCUAAUAGAGCAGCACAUUAACAUGGACAUCCUGAAGAAGGACCCCUCUCUCUACAGAGAUAUUGCUAAGAACUCUCUGCUGCGGUGGCCCAGCUUCAUAUACUGGACUGUCUUGGGUGUAUAUGACGCCAUCGUGAUGUUCUUCGGUGCUUACUUCCUGUUUGACAACACCACCUUCACCAGCAAUGGACAGCUAAUGACAACCAACACACAGAUGAUGUUUGGAAACUGGACAUUUGGGACUCUGGUCUUCACUGUGUUGGUCUUCACUGUUACAUUCAAGUUGGCUCUAGAUACUCAUUACUGGACUUGGAUCAACCAUUUUGUCAUCUGGGGCUCACUCAUCUUCUUUGUGGUCUUCUCUCUACUGUGGGGCGGAAUCAUCUGGCCCUUCCUCAACUACCAGAGGAUGUAUUACGUGUUCAUGCAGAUGUUGUCCAGCGGCCCUGCCUGGCUCAGUAUUAUCCUCCUGAUAACGGCCAGUCUGCUGCCAGAUGUGGUGAAGAAGGUCAUCUGGAGGGCGCUGUGGCCCACUACUACUGAACGCAUACAGAAUGCUGAUAAACUCUACAAGGGCCAGCUGUCAGAGUUCACCCCCCUGGCGUCCCUCCACGCCCCACCCAAGGCUGGCAGCCGCCGGCGAGGCUCGGAAAACCAAAGGAACAACCAGAACCCUCGAAGGUCUGAAACCUUUACCAAGAAAAUCAUGUUCACGCGCUGGCAAAGAGCGCCAGACUACUGCACCUUCACCCCCCUCCUCCGAUUCGCAGACGGCUCAAGGCAGGGACACGCUUUUGGCGGGGCGGGGCCUGAGACCUCAGUCUAAUUUAUUUCCUUUUGUCUGGUGUUCUUCUGUCCUUUUAUUCUGGAAUUGAACCGAACAAAGUAAUUGGUGGAAAGUAAAAUUGCCCAAAAGAAACAAAACCAACUGGAUUCAAAUAACGGACUAUGUUGCUCAUAGCAGAUAUUUGGAAUCCAGUAAAAUGGAUUACAGUGAAAGUGACCUUUACGACUGCUCCCAAGUCAGCAGCCAAGUGUGGCGGCUAUGGAAAGGACUCCUCGUUCGCCACAACAACAUGCAAAGGGCUCAGUGUAAUGAUGUCACAACAAACAAACAAACAAACAAGAGCUUUGAUUUCAAACUACAAACUACGUGCACUGGCCCUUUACAUGUGUCUGCCUCCAACGGCAGCCGAAGUGUUCUUUAAAUCCUGGGAUUUUUGAAUGGUUAUGGUGAUAAUGAUGAUGCUGGAAUUGUGAUGAUGAUGAUGAUGAUGAAGACUGUAACAGUGCUUAAGCCAGCUCAAGUUCUCUCUGACCAAACCAUCCCUCUAUCUUUUCUUUCCUUCUUUUUUUUCUCCUCUGUCUGUUCUGCCUCUUUGCAGGACUAACUGGUGUUGCCUGUGUGCAAACAUGUUGUCCAGAAACACUCCGUAGGACUCUGGGGUCAGAUCCUACAGCACUCCAUCUCUCUUUUUCUCUCUCCCUCUACUGAAGCGACAUGGAAGUUUUCCUACCUCUGCGGCAUCAUCAUCAUCACCCUUCUCUCGUCUGCAUCUUCUCGGCCAUCCCUCCAUUCAUCCAUCCAUUGAUCCAUCCUUUGUGAGACAGAGCAGGAAUGUUGUUUUGUACUCUUUCAAUAGCAAUCCUAUGAACCAAAGCCUUGUUGCUGCUAGAGAUACUUAUAGCUGCUUUACAUUAGGUGCCUUGCGCUAGUUUAUGGAAUCUACCUUUUGUUUCUCCUGUGCUCGCUUUACGGUGAACUAUUCGUACGCUCUUGGAAGGUACAAAGGUUCUGCACAUGAUGGAUGCACGGAUGCACAACUGAGGAGCGAUGAGUUAAUGGAAGGGUGAAUAUAAAAGGUCCUAAAAGAACGAUAUACGGUCAGAGAACAAAUGAGUUACCACUUGCACCAAAACGCUCAUUGACUUACGUUUAAUAUCUAUUUUUUAUUGUUUUUAUUCCAGAUGUUUUAUACAUGCCCCUGAAGGCAUCCGUCUCUGAAAUGUUAUUUUUACUGUUUUUAUUUAUGUACAAUGUGUAAAAAUCCCUGUUUACUCACUGGAAAGACAACAGUGCGAUGUUGUCGUUACUCUUUAUUUUAAGAGAGAAGACUUGAAGAGCUCCAGCACUGCUUGAUCAAUCAGUGUUACAAACUGGGAUAUUUGAAAACACAUUCUGUGUGUUUCUUUAACUUUAACACCCAAACUUGCUUUUUUUUUUCUACUUCCAUUUUGUUUUUGGGUGAACCAGAUUACAAAACACAUCACCAGUAAUCCAGUUCCUGCUUCUAUUGUGUGUCUGAAUUCAGAUUGGGAUUUGACAGACAGAGGUUCUUAAAAGGAGAUGUUUUUCAACCCAAGCUGUGUGCCAGUAUUUUAUACUCUGACUGUUAAAGGUAGAGUCAGGUAUUCGAACACAUCCUCAGAGGCAUCGUCCUCCAAAUUCAUGAAGGCAUCAACACGAAAGGCACUUUUCCACUCGCACCUACUCGGAUCGACUCAAGUCUGCUCAACUCGGUUUAAGUCGUUUUACGUCACAGCUGAGUACCACCUCAUCGUGGGUGGAGUCACAAAACACUCAACGUCCUCAAACAUGGUCUCGAAUAACGCAGCAGCGGAGUCGAGGUCACUCUCCCUCCUGUUGCUCGCCAGUCGAUGCCUGUAAAUGGCGUUCAUUUGGCUAAACCACUUCCCACUCCGGCCGUUGUGGUUCUUGAUGGACCGAUAGUCACUUUUGAGCUUUUUCAGUUUCUCCUGACACUGCUUCAUUGUCCUGCUGCAUCCGUGGUGGGCCAUCCGUUCAGAGACCUCCUGAUAAACUUUCUCGUUGCAAGUCGCACCGUCCAGCUCCGUCUGUAUUCUUUGAUCCACCACCAAAGACAGAAAAGUCUCGACCUCUUCAUUCACCCACGGUAACAGGUCUCAUGUGUCGUCACUCCCUGUCCAGUCAGUGGCCUGAACUCUGUAGACGUCACAUUAUCGGCUCGACUCAGCUCACUUGGAACCCCGGCCGAGUAGGUACUAAAAUAGUAUCUGGUACCAGGUACUACGUCCUAAUAGAAAACCUCACAAACCGAAUAGAGUCGAGCUGAGUAGGUGCUGGUGGAAACUUGGGCUACUGGACCAAAAGAGAAACGCUCCAGCCUUACAGGCGUGGAAGCGGACAUUUCAUUAUAAUUAUAGCCUAAGCUAAACAAAAGUUACAUCAUUAAACGUCAGCAGCCUGUUGCUGAAUCACCUUUUUGCUUGAUAUUUCUCAUUAGAAACAUGGAGGAGAGGCGAUAUUGUCUUAACUGAACAAAAAUGGAUCUGGAUUAGAAUGGCUAACUCUAUCUUUAAGGAACUAGACAGAAUUGACUGUUGACAAAAAUCCUCCCGAAAAACAAAAAAAGAAACAACGUGAGGGCAGCAAUGAACCCGUCACAUCCAAGGUUGCUGAAAGUCCUUAAAAUGGGAAUCCAUAUAGUAUGACCACUAGCUGAAAGAUGCGAGGAGUUUAAUGAAAGUGAAGUUGGAAUGUUGCCUUGCAUGUGAAUGACCCACUGCAACAAAUGUGGCCUAUAAGCACUAGCCGAGUGGUAGUGAGUAAAUAAUUACAAUUGUGCUAGUGAUGCAUUCAGAUGUCAUCCAUCCCAGUGAAUUACUGGAGCUUGAACCACCUGAACAUGUUCCUUGUAUUCACUUUCAUUCUGAAUUACGGUAAGUUAAGAGACUCAGAGGUAAAGAUGUUUGAAUUUAAAUUUGCAGAAUUUACUGGAUAACUGGAUGAAUAUUUGCACUUCAAAAUCUUUGAGCACAUCUGAAAACUAUUUAAAAACCAAUAUGUUACACAACAAUACCUGUUUUAUAUCUAUGUUAGACAUCAUGAGAGGCUUUCACUUCUUUUUUUUACUUUUUGGAGACAGUAUUUGAUGUGUGUCUUAUUUAUGUCGAAGAAUAUUUCAAAAACCAAACUGGAUUGUGACAAAACAACACUGGACAUGUAUGUACAGUAUGUAUGCAUAGUUUUAAAUGAAAAAAAAGAUAUUUCUGUGGUGUUAGCUGAUGCUCAGAACUGAACCAUCUUGUCUGACAUUUUGACACUCUGCUGUAGAAACUUUCAAAGCCAUUCAUGGUGGAUUUAGAGUCUCACUGUACCGGCCUCUCUUGUCCUUACUGUCCUGAUCUUUCAAAACCACCAGAACUGACAGCCUUCAAACAGAAUGUUAUCUUUUCUCUUUUACAACGUGUUCUUGUAUAGUGAUCUAUACUUCUCAUAACCGAUAGUAUCUAUAAGUCACUGUACACUCAGAUACAGGAUAUAUAUAUAUAUAUAUA